rnacentral:rRNA from 1 species
UACGUAGGCAGCAAGCGUUGUUCGGAGUUACUGGGCGUAAAGGGUGUGUAGGCGGUUCUUUAAGUUUGCUGUGAAAUCUCCCGGCUUAACCGGGAGGGUGCGGUGAAUACUGAGGGACUAGAGUACGGGAGAGGAAAGUGGAAUUCCUGGUGUAGCGGUGAAAUGCGUAGAUAUCAGGAGGAACACCGGUGGUGUAGACGGCUCACUGGACCAUAACUGACGCUGAGACACGAAAGCGUGGGUAGCAAACAGG